rnacentral:rRNA from 1 species
AGUUAGACAUUUUAUGAAAAUCUUGAUAAAAAGUUUAAUAAGAACGUCGCGCGACGAAACGUUGUAUGUAGGCACAGGCCUGUUAUAUACAAAUUUUCUUUUAGUAGAAAACUCUUAUUAUUUAUUAAUUUUUUAAAUAAUGUGAAUUGAAUCAUCUUAGUAACAUUAAAUAUAAAUCAAACGAGAUCUUGAAAGUAGUGGCGAACGAAAUCAAGAAAAGCUUAAAACUAGAUAAUUAUAUCUUAAUUGAUAACAAACCUUAGAAGGUUUAAGUCCUGUAAAGAUAUGUAUAAUAGUUUUAUAUAAAGUAGUGUGAAUGACUUGCACGAAUCAAGGAGCACCACCUUCUAAGCUUAAAUAAGACUUUUUAAUCGAUAGUGAACGAGUACCGUGAGGGAAAGAUGAAAAAUACCGAUAAGGUAGCCUAUUACAAUAGUAGUUUUUAGAAAUUAAAUGUCUGAUUUUGUAGCUUUUUUUGAGUCCCAAAAUGCCUUUUGCAUAAUGAACCAGUAAGUUAAUAUUGUAUAGCAAGUUUUAGAGAAAAAUUAAAGGCGGUUUAUAGCUAUAUAUAUUAGACCUGAAACCAAGUGAUCUAGUUAUGAGCAAGCUAAAAAAUUACUAAAAUAGUUUGAAGGGCUGAAUUCGUACAUGUAGAAAAAUGUUGAAAUGACUUGUAAUUAGGGGUGAAAGACCAAUCAAACUUGGUGAUAGCCGGUUUUUCACGAAAUGUAUUUUAGUACUACACUAUUUUUAAUAAAUUGCAGGUACAGUAACAAACUAGAUAAUGGAGUUUAAAACCUUACAGCAUUUAGUUUAACUUUGAAUUGUAGUUUAAUCUAUUUAGUAGUCAGUCUCUGAGCGAAAAGGUUCAGUGACAAAAGGGAAAAAACCCAAAUCGUAUGUUAAGGCCUUAAAAUUAUAGUUUAAGUGUGGAAAACAUGUAAUGAACUAAAUAAAAAAGUAGACUUAGAAGCAGUCAUUUACUGGAGAAAGCGUUUUAGCUCAUUAUUUUUUUAUUGCAUGUUGAAAAAUAACCGAGGCUAAAGUAUAUGCCGAAACAACGAAUUUAAUAUGGUAGUGAAACGCUUUGUAAAUUAUUAAAUAUACGUAAGUAUAAAAUCAAAACUGUUAAUGCUGGUAUGAGUAACGUUAAACUAUGUUAGUAUAAUCAUAGUCACCUAUUGUUUAAGGUUUUCAAUGUAACUUGUUGUGCAUUGAGUUAAACGGUUCUUAAGAAAAGGGUUAAAACCGUAUUCGAUAGAAAUUUUCAGCUAUACGAAAAAAAAUCAAAAAUUUUAUAAUUUUAAUGGAGUUUAGAUUAUAAAAUUUUUGAUUUUUCAGGAAAGAUCUAUAGCAUUUUGACCGUACUUAUAACCGACACAGGUAAACUUGUUGAGAAUACAAAGGUGAAAGAGUGAAUUAAACUAAAGGAACUUGGCAAAUUAACUUCGUAAGUUCGCAAAAAGAAGUGUCAUAUAAUCUUGACGUCACAAAAUUGAAGACAACGACUGGUUAUCAAAACCAUAAAACUCUGCUAAUUAGUCAUUAAAGAUGUAUAGAGUUUGACAUCUGCCCAGUGCUUAAAAAUAAAAAUAAUUGAUUAAAAUAAUUAAUUAUUUAACUCUAAGUAAACGGCGGUUCUAACUAUAAGAAUCCUUAGGUAGCGAAAUUCCUUGACGGGUAAGUUCCGUCCUGCAUGAAUGAUGUCACGAUUGUCUUGCUGUCUCUAGUUUAAUCUCUGUGAAAUUUCAUAACCUAUGAAAAUGUAGGUAACCUACAGUAAGACGGAAAGACCCUAGAUCCUUUACUUAAACUUUUUAUUGAUUAUACUUUUCUUUCAUGUAGAACAAGUGGGAGUAUUUAAAAGUACCCAAUGUGAAAUACCACUUUAAAUAUAAGUAUUUCUUACUUUAAAAUUAAGGACAGUAAAAAGCGGAAAGUUUACUUGGGACGAGUACCUCCUAAAAUGUAACGGAGGUGUACAAAAGAUAAGCAAAACAAAAAUACAAUGAUUUUAGCUUGUUUGACAAUUAGAUUGAUAAAUCAAAUUGAGACGAAAGUCAGUCAUAGUGAUCCGAUAAAAAUGCGUGGAAAUUUUAUCGCUCAACAGAUAAAAGGAACUCUAGGGAUAACAGAUUCAUCAUGGUUGAGAGUUCAUAUCAUUACCAUGGUUUGAUACCUCGAUGUCGACUCAUCUUAUCCUGGAAUUGAAGCUGAUUUCAAGGGUCUAGUUGUUCGCUAGUGAAGAAGGUACGUGAGUUGGGUUCAGAACGUCGUGAGACAGUUCGGUCCCUAUCUGCUGUGGGAAGAAAAGAUAAAAACAUUACUUUUAGUACGAGAGGACCAAAGUAUUUUAACCACUAGUGUACUGAUUGUUAUUACUUUUAGCAGCGUCAGGUAGCUACGUUAACAAGUAUUAUAUACUGAAAAAAUCAAAAUUGUAUAAAAACUUAUUUGUAUCUUUUCAGAAUAGUCUAGAAGAUAACUAGAUAGAUCGGUUUAGUUUAAUAAUUUUAGUAAUAAAAAAUUAUUUAUAAAUACGAAUUAUUCAUUAAAACGUUAAGU